AUAGAACGCUGGCGGCAGGCUUAACACAUGCAAGUCGAGCGGGGUGAUGGUGCUUGCACUAUCACUUAGCGGCGGACGGGUGAGUAAUGCUUAGGAAUCUGCCUAUUAGUGGGGGACAACAUCUCGAAAGGGAUGCUAAUACCGCAUACGUCCUACGAGAGAAAGCAGGGGAUCACUUGUGACCUUGCGCUAAUAGAUGAGCCUAAGUCGGAUUAGCUAGUUGGUGGGGUAAAGGCCUACCAAGGCGACGAUCUGUAGCGGGUCUGAGAGGAUGAUCCGCCACACUGGGACUGAGACACGGCCCAGACUCCUACGGGAGGCAGCAGUGGGGAAUAUUGGACAAUGGGGGGAACCCUGAUCCAGCCAUGCCGCGUGUGUGAAGAAGGCCUUAUGGUUGUAAAGCACUUUAAGCGAGGAGGAGGCUCUUUUGGUUAAUACCCAAGAUGAGUGGACGUUACUCGCAGAAUAAGCACCGGCUAACUCUGUGCCAGCCGCCGCGGUAA
rnacentral:rRNA from 1 species